UCUGGGAUCUCUCUCUCUGUCACCUCACAGUAGUCGUUGCCGGUCGCGGGUGUGGGGGCGCGAGCAGCGCAGGGCCGCCUUUCCCCCGCCCUCAGGCCGGGCCCGGGCUCGGUCCCCCGCUCCCUCCUCUCCCCACCCCGGUCGGGUACCGGAAGGUCCAAGCCGCUGCCGGGUGCCCGAGGGCCAUCGUGGCCGCCGCCACGGGUCCUGAUGGAGCCGCCGAAUCUCUAUCCGGUGAAGCUCUACGUGUACGACCUGUCCAAGGGCCUGGCCCGCCGGCUCAGCCCCAUCAUGCUGGGGAAACAACUGGAAGGAAUCUGGGAGGGACAUUGCUUGGGCCCCCAGACUCUGUGGUUGAUGUGGGGAAUACAGAAGUCACAGAAGAAAUCUUUCUGGAAUACCUGUCCUCCCUGGGGGAGUCUCUGUUCCGAGGAGAAGCCUACAACCUCUUUGAACACAACUGUAACACCUUUAGCAAUGAAGUGGCACAGUUCCUGACUGGGCGGAAGAUCCCUUCUUACAUCACCGACCUGCCCUCAGAAGUUCUCUCCACGCCCUUUGGACAAGCACUUCGGCCCUUCUUGGACUCCAUUCAGAUCCAGCCUCCAGGAGGGAACUCUGUAGGCAGACCCAAUGGCCAAAGCUAACAGGACUGCACGGGACCGCCCGCCUCUCCACGGCUUUUCCUUUUUAAACAAAACAAACCCUACCAGAUUUCUAUUUUAUAAUUUUACAUCAGAGCUAACGGGGACGGCUUUUUAAAUUUCCCAGGGAAGGAGCUCAUCAGGCCGCAUGUAGAACAACGCUCCUGAGAAAGAGAACAAAGCCAUCCCUUCUAAUAGUAUUACACUAAUUUAUUAAGGCUGUCUUGUCUGUGAGUUCACUUUUGACGCUGUUGCCUACACGUCCUCCACACUGAAGAGAGAGGGUGCUUUUUAAAAGAGAAGCAAGAGUCACAGUCUGGGAGAACCCGACCUUGGACCCUCUUUCCAGAGAACGCCGACAUUCCACCCAGGUCGCCACGCCUGUGGGACCCAGGUGAGUUCUGUACUGUCCAUUCUCCUGAAGCUGUCACCCUCUAGCCGUAAACGAACCAAAGGACUUGGAGUACGUGGGGCCAGCUGUAGGCUCCUAACUCAACCUAAGUGAACUCUUUAACCACAAGUUUACCCCUCCUCCUGAGACAAGGCCACCCGUCACAGCCGGAGCAGCCAGAGCAACAGGAUCAAAGGAGACUGGCAGCAGGGGUGAGGCCAGAGAAAACAGGAGAAAGCCAUUCAUCCUCCUGUGAGUGCCAAUCCUCGAUGCCCACCCCUAAGCUGCUCUUCCUCAGCAUAGCUUGACCUGUCACCUUUAAUAAAGGUCUAGGCUGCAGCAGCAGAGACCCAGGCCUUCUGUUUGAGAAUAAUUACGUCAGUUAUUUAUAGUCAGUAGAGCCAGCCACUCAAACCAGUAUGGAUUUGUCAGCUAGGUUGAGGGGACUCGAUUGUUCUCCUAAAACAUGUCUCUGAUGUAGAAAGAAUACUGUAAUGAUGUAGAUUCAUGGUGGGAAGAAAAUUUAGAGUUGUCUCCAAUAGGGACUUCACAUUAUCCUUAAUGUGUCUUGAACAGACGCUAUCUCCAUUGUCAUUCUGACCUUUUGGGGUGUGGUUGGGGUGUGAGUGGGUGUUUCCCUAAUGAUAUGCUGCUAGGAUUUCAUAGGCAGGAAUAGCCUAGAAGUCUACGAUCUAGACUCUCGAUUCCAGAGAAACCUCAAGGUUCCCUUCCUUGGUGUCAGCUUUCUACUAGCUAAUGUGGGGAACUGGAUAAGGAGAAGGGAGCUCAGAGAAGGCACCUGAGACUCCACAUCCAUGGGGAGCCCCCCACCAUGGAUGGCUCCCUGCCACUUCUGAAACUUGAGCUCAGGUGUUCCUUCUGGGGCAGGCCUUUCCUCCCUAAGAGCUCCUGUUGGCUCACACUUGCCCACAUCCUGCAGUCUUUGCCACUAGCCAUAGCAGUAGGCGCCGUGGAGAGCUCUGCCUCAAAGCUGGCCUUUUGCCUGGCCAGGGCUUUGCCCACCUAGGAUGGCAAGUGACGUUUUGGAACUGAAAGGUCACAGCCAAAUGGGUCUCGAGACUCAACAGUGUGCAGGCAUGUGUGGCUAUUACAAAGGAAAGCGGAAACCAACAGGGAUUGUUCAGUGUUGGCCCAGUUGCCACAGUGGGGCUCAGAAGGGUGAGUGUUCAAAGCUUGGCAUCCGGGAAGGUAGAGGUUGCUGGAAGCCAUCACUUUUUCACUUGCCUGGCCCUAGCUGGUAGCAUCUCUGCCCAGCGCUCUCACCUCUGUCCUAAGGGUGCGGUCACAUGGCUAUUCUCUGGUUUUCUCCUCAUAGCAGUACAAUAACCAUGAUAUUCUGAGAAGUUUGCCUGAGGACUUUAGUCACUUAAUUGCUUGACUUCUCUCCUGUCACGUCUAGCAGCCAUCCAUGCCAGAGUCUGUGGCCAUGGCUAGGAGAGAUAGGAAGACUGGACAGUCUCUGGCCUCAGCAGAAAGGCAAGCUGUUCUCCCCUGUGCAAGUCCAGUGUCACCAGAGCCCCAGGCCAGGAACCCCAGAUCCCACCUGUACAUUUCCCUGCCAGACUCUCAGGAGGGACUCCACCUGGGCAUGCACCAUGAAGCUGAGAGGAAAAGGAGUUGUGUGGUUCGUGUCACAUGUUGGACACUCCUGUCUGUUGGUCAGUUAGUCAAGGGACAAGGGAAGUGGAGGCAUGAGGCCAUCAUACUUUCCCAGACUGAAGUGUUUCUCUGAGAUUCUUUCGUGACUUCCUUGAAGUCUGACUAAUUAUGUCUAACACGGAGGUGUUGCUGGUUUUCAUUGGUGUUUUUUCUAAUGCAAUAAACUCAUUUCUGCCUGCUGCUCUAGUGAGUUGCUUGAAUCCUGGCAGGAAGC
rnacentral:lncRNA from 1 species